rnacentral:lncRNA from 10 species
CGACAAUUAAGAGCACUCUAAGAGGAAAACACAUCCCACCACACAAGGCAAGGUACUUCUAUGGAAGGGUGAGCCCUCACAGAUGGAGCAAUGGGGCGCGCACACCUGAACAAGGGAGGGGAAGGAGUUCUUAUCCCUGAUGCAUGUGACCCCUGCUGCUGUGUCCUUCCCCUAUUGGCUAAGGCUUCUGACAGCUUUGGAGAUUGUGACAUUGGAAUAAAGGAAAAACGUACAGGACUCAUGAAGCGCUGAAAUGUUCACAAAUAUCAAGCAAAAGUCAAUGAAAUUUAUUUUGAGCUAUUUACAUCAUUUAAUAAUUGAGCAAGGUAUACUCCUAUGAACAAAAUUUGGAGCAUGUUUGUCUCUCUCUGUCUGCCUGGCAUCUACAGAAUUUGGAAACUAGUUUCGUUCCCAGAUUUCCUAAACUUUCCAGAGAAAAUGGUCUUCUCCCUGGCUCAGCAAGAAGAUGAACUUUAAACACUGAGAAACUGGUCAUCUCCCUGGCUCAACCAGAAGAUGAACUUUAAACACUACUCUCAAUGACUUGAUGUUCCCAUCACUACUCCUGUCAUAAAGGGAGGGGACUCAGAUAUUGAGAAUUUUAUGAUAGUGUGAACUGUCUGGUAUGUCAUUUAAGUAAGCCCGUUGCUGAAAUAUUUUCCAUGUUAUUAGAAAGAGCUGAAGAGAGGGAUUGAGAUGGCUUCUUUAUUUUUUGUCUUUUGGGAAUUAAAGGAACCUGGUUCAACAAGGGCCUACACCUAAGUCUCUUGUUGUACCAGAGUACAAUUUAGGACUGCUCCUGAGGAAGGAAUUAGCUAGAAAUCUAGAGAGUAAGGGUAACAGAUUUACAUAGAAUAACAGCCUCAGUAUUUUUGGUUCCUCUCCAGUAAAGAUCACAAAGAAUAUUGCUAAAUCGCUAAAACACCUUUGCAAUAACGUAAGGGCUUACAACUAUAUACCAAUGUAGCUCAGUUACUAAACUGGAGUAAACUAAUUUCUCUUGUGUA